CCAGUUUCUAUAUCAUUGAGUUCAAGUUCAGAGAUUGUGGGGGUUGAUAGCAUCCAUUCAAUAAGGCAGCUGGGAAAGAAGUUGAGCCUAUUUUAUCUAACGAGUUGAACAACAAGACUAUACGGCUCACAAGUCCAAAUUAGAAGCAGAUCUAGCUAGAAGAGCAGAACACUACUUUUCUGAUAAUAUGCGGGUUAUUAAAG